rnacentral:rRNA from 1 species
UAGUAUUCAAUUGUCAGAGGUGAAAUUCUUGGAUUUAUUGAAGACUAACUACUGCGAAAGCAUUUGCCAAGGAUGUUUUCAUUAAUCAAGAACGAAAGUUAGGGGAUCGAAGACGAUCAGAUACCGUCGUAGUCUUAACCAUAAACUAUGCCGACUAGGAAUCGGAUGAUGUUAAUUUUUUAAUGACUCA